AAUAGCCUCGUAUUUUGGCUUGACCGGUCAAAAUCCCUAAACUGCCAAGUCCAUCCCCACUUCUUUCCUCGCUCCGCAUCUCAUCUCCACCAUGGCCGCCUCCGGCGCCGCCCCCUGUCCAUCGACGCCGUUUGCCUGCACACCCGCCGUCGCGGCGCCGCCUCCCUCCCCAACCAGCGCCGUAUCCCUCCGCAUCCAGGUUGCACUCUCGGCGUCCAAUGUCGCUUUCCUUCCCCAUCCAGCGCCUUCGUCUUCUUCCUCCUCACACCAGCGCUGCCACCCUGGCCGAGUCCCAGCCACCCCACGCCGCACCCCGACCCCACCCCCUGCGCCCCCCAUCCAGUGUCCUCGUCCUGUAUACUCAUCUGCCCUAGAAUCUGCAGGUGUACCGGUGAAUCGAGUCAGGGAGAAGAAACCCGAGACGGAGGAAUCAAGUCAAGAUCUGGGUUUGCUUGCCCAGAUGUGAUAUCUUGUGCAUUUUAAAUUUGCUUCUGAAUUGUUUUGUGAAGGAUUUUUUAUUUUGUUUAUGGAUCAGUUGCUGGAAGAAAUAGAAGUCAAUAUCUGUCUUGCUGGAGGUCAAAUAACUAUGGAUCUAUCUUUUUGGAGGUCAAAUAACUAUGGAUCUAUCUUUUUGGAGGUCAGGAACUUCAAGAAUGUCAUUCAGCAUUGGAGGAGGCAAAGGCUGAUAUAGUUGGUCUGUGGGUGCUGAAUUUUCUUAUAAACAAGGUUGGUUACUUCAUUGGUUAUUAGAGUAUCAGGGCACUUGUGUUAGAGCCCAGUGUUGUGGGGCCCAACCAGCCAAUUCCUUAUAUUUCUGUAGGGAAAUAUUAGGGAUGCAUGUUCCUUUCCUUAUAUCCCCAGUAUGCAAUCAUAUAAUACUUAAAAUGGAAUCACAUAAUAUCUUGUUUUCAUCUGUUCUGUCAGGGGUUGCUUCCUAAGAGCCUAUCAAAAUCUAUGUAUGUCUAUUUCCUGGCUGGAUGCUUUCGGUCAAUUAAUUGCUUCUUAUUGUACCACUCUAUUUUGGCUGCUCUUUUUUGAACAUUUGCAUAUCAUACAUCUCUAUUUCUGACAUAGGGUUUGAGUGUUUCCAUGUUACAACAAUGAAUAAAAAUUUCAUCAAUGCAGGUCCAUCUUUUCAGACCACAGGAUCAUCCUAGUAUCCCUGAAUAUCUUGUUUGUUUUCUUUUGACUAACCAUCUGAGAAUAGAAUCGUAGAUGUCAUUCAUGUAUAUUUUGACUAAUCAUUUGAGCAGAAUGGGCCAGCAGCAACAAAGAUGAACACUUACAAGUUUAUGAUGUUGGAAGUGUGCAAAAUGUGGUGAGAGUAUAGGUUGUGGCCCCAUCAGUAAUGUAAUGUCCAGAAGCAUCUUGUAAGUUCCUGCACCUUUGUUCCAUAUUCAAAACUAUAACAAAUGUUCUAAAAUGUACCAUGUUUGUUUAUUCUUCAACAAAUUGUUUCUUCCAUGAUGAGUAAAGCUGAAUUAUAAUGUGGCCAUCCUUUGCAUUUCUCUUGAGCAAAUUGUAGACCAUAGUAUGUUCAUUUAUUUACUCUAUAAUGUGCGAGAUCAUCUCUUUUUAUUGUGUGUAUAAUGGAUUUCUUUCCUGCUAGCAUAUACACCUACUUGGUGCUAGCAUAUACAAUGUACAAGUUACUGGUAGAAAGUUUAUGUCGAAGGGAGAUUCAUGUGCACUUUCUAAAAGUAUGGAUGCUAUAAUAUUGUACUUUUGUCAUCUUAUUUUUGUGUACUUUCAUAUUUUUCAUUUGUUCACGAUUUUACCUGUGUUUCCUUCGCCUACAGUUAUUACCAUAUCUAUUGAUUCAUACGUACUGAAUUAUUUCAGUUCCCUGGUGCCGUGUGGGGCAUGCCAUAUGCUCAUGGACCAUUUUCCACACAUGCACAAGUGUCGCUCCCCAAAAGUUACUUACCAAGGAUCGGCCCUUGCUGGUGUCCUCUCAUUUUGUUGCGUCCAUUGGCACAUUGCUGGAUCCAGGUUCAAGUGUAUGCUGCCAUUGUUGCAGACUGAACCAAGCUAUUCUCAGUCUAUGAUGGGAUGUCAAUGCUUCAGCUGCUAAUAUAGGGCACGACUAGUCUGUUUUAAACUUGCCUUCAUAUGAUGAAGUAUAGUGGCGGCUCCUGUUAAAUUAAGCAUUUUGUGUACUGUGAAUUUGUUGUGAUCUUGUGCACAUUGAGAUAUAAAUAGAUAUAUUGUGAUCUUGUGAACUAUGACUGGGCUUUGACGUAUUUGUUUGUGCAUUAAUAUGAAUGGCUGUGGAAAAAUAUCUGUUAUUUUUCAUCUAUUCUUUUGCACUGAAUUUUGAAUAAUAUUUCGAAUUGUGGGUUGUAUAGUCAUUCCUGAAGGUGAUCACUGAUGAGCUACUCCAUUUUUC